AGAGUUUGAUCCUGGCUCAGGACGAACGCUGGCGGCGUGCCUAACAUAUGCAAGUCGAACGGAGUAAGGCCCUUCGGGACCUUACUUAGUGGCGAACGGGUGAGUAACGCGUGAGGAACCUGCCUUUCAGUGGGGGACAACAGUUGGAAACGACUGCUAAUACCGCAUAAUGCUUUUGAGUGGCAUCACUUAAAAGUCAAAGAUUUAUUGCUGAAAGAUGGCCUCGCGUCUGAUUAGCUAGUUGGCGGGGUAACGGCCCACCAAGGCGACGAUCAGUAGCCGGUCUGAGAGGAUGAACGGCCACAUUGGGACUGAGAUACGGCCCAGACUCCUACGGGAGGCAGCAGUGGGGAAUAUUGGGCAAUGGGGGAAACCCUGACCCAGCAACGCCGCGUGAAGGAAGAAGGCCUUCGGGUUGUAAACUUCUUUUACCAGGGGCGAAAGAAAUGACGGUACCUGGAGAAAAAGCAACGGCUAACUACGUGCCAGCAGCCGCGGUAAUACGUAGGUUGCGAGCGUUGUCCGGAUUUACUGGGUGUAAAGGGCGUGUAGGCGGAGAUGCAAGUUGGGAGUGAAAUCCAUGGGCUCAACCCAUGAACUGCUUCCAAAACUGUAUCCCUUGAGUAUCGGAGAGGCAAGCGGAAUUCCUAGUGUAGCGGUGAAAUGCGUAGAUAUUAGGAGGAACACCAGUGGCGAAGGCGGCUUGCUGGACGACAACUGACGCUGAGGCGCGAAAGCGUGGGGAGCAAACAGGAUUAGAUACCCUGGUAGUCCACGCUGUAAACGAUGAAUACUAGGGUGUGGGAGGACUGACCCCUUCCCGUGCCGCAGUUAACACAAUAAGUAUUCCACCUGGGGGAGUACGACCCGCAAGGUUGAAACUCCAAAGGAAUUGAACGGGGGCCCGCACAAGCAGUGGGAUUAAUGUGGGUUUAAUUCGACGCCACCGCGAAGAACCUUUCCAGGACUUGGCUUCCAACUAACCAAAGUAAAGAAACAUUAAGUGGCCCUCUCGGGGAAAAUUAAAACAAGGGGGGGCAGGGGUGUCCUCCCCUCCCGGCCGGGGAGAAUUGUGGUUAAUUCCCCCCACCAAGGGGAACCCCCUCUUUGGUAUGUGGUCCGAAAAAGACUCUUUCUGAAAUUGCCUUUGUCAAAAACGAGGGAAGGGGGGGACACGGCCCAAUAAAAAAUGGCCCCUUAUGUCUGGGGUGCACCCCCAUUAAAAAAUGGGGGGAAAAAAAGAGGGAACGGAACCCCGCGGCGGGAGGAAAACCUUAAAAGCCAUCUCAGUUCGGAUUGCAGGCUGCAACUCGCCUGCAUGAAGCUGGAAUUGCUAGUAAUCGCGGAUCAGAAUGCCGCGGUGAAUACGUUCCCGGGCCUUGUACACACCGCCCGUC
rnacentral:rRNA from 1 species